rnacentral:lncRNA from 1 species
CACAACCCACCCCUCUCUCCCUCUCUUUUCUUUCUAAACUCUCCGCUAUCGCCUUCUUUCUCCAUCAGCGGCGAACCCCCCGGAACAAUCAACAAAACUGUCAAAAAACCGACACCUAAAACCCCACUAAUAGCCACUGAUUUUGCCACCAAAAUCCCAAUAUAAAUGCCAACCGACACCGCAAUAACAACAACAAUCACAACCAGCCACGAUUGGACGAUGAAUCGCCUCUCACCAGCGUCACCUUCGAUACUCCCUCACCAGCUAAUCGAUGGAAAUAACAGCAAUAUCAACCAGUCACACCCGUGCUGUCUCUGUUCUCCUUCACGUUGCUGCCUCGCCGCUCCAAACUUUGCCAAUUGAUGCUAAAAAAGAGUAAAACUCAUGACGAAUUUUCUGAAAUUCAUCUUAGGUUUGUUGUUUUGCUUAAAUUUCCUUUUUCUACUCUAUUUUUUCUCUUUGACUGAUUUCAUUCAAAAUUUAUGAAGUUUGACUUUGAAUUUUGAGUUAAAUCUUCUAAUUUUGUG